rnacentral:rRNA from 1 species
ACUCAAAUGAAUUGACGGGGGCCCGCACAAGCGGUGGAGCAUGUGGUUUAAUUCGACGCAACGCGAAGAACCUUACCAGCUCUUGACAUGCCCGGUAUGGGGCCGAGAGAUCGGCUCUUUCAGUUCGGCUGGCCGGUGCACAGGUGCUGCAUGGCUGUCGUCAGCUCGUGUCGUGAGAUGUUGGGUUAAGUCCCGCAACGAGCGCAACCCUCACCUUUAGUUGCCAUCAGGUUAAGCUGGGCACUCUGAAGGAACUGCCGGUGACAAGCCGGAGGAAGGCGGGGAUGACGUCAAGUCCUCAUGGCCUUUAUGGGCUGGGCUACACACGUGCUACAAUGGCGGUGACAGUGGGACGCGAAGGGGCAACCCUUGGCCAAUCUCAAAAAGCCGUCUCAGUUCGGAUUGUCCUCUGCAACUCGAGGGCAUGAAGCUGGAAUCGCUAGUAAUCGCGGAUCAGCACGCCGCGGUGAAUACGUUCCCGGGCCUUGUACACACCGCCCGU